UGGGGAAUAUUGCACAAUGGGCGAAAGCCUGAUGCAGCAACGCCGCGUGAGUGAUGAAGGCCUUCGGGUUGUAAAGCUCUGUCUUUUGGGACGAUAAUGACGGUACCAAAGGAGGAAGCCACGGCUAACUACGUGCCAGCAGCCGCGGUAAUACGUAGGUGGCGAGCGUUGUCCGGAUUUACUGGGCGUAAAGGAUGCGUAGGCGGAUAUUUAAGUGAGAUGUGAAAUACCCGAGCUUAACUUGGGUGCUGCAUUUCAAACUGGAUAUCUAGAGUGCGGGAGAGGAGAAUGGAAUUCCUAGUGUAGCGGUGAAAUGCGUAGAGAUUAGGAAGAACACCAGUGGCGAAGGCGAUUCUCUGGACCGUAACUGACGCUGAGGCAUGAAAGCGUGGGUAGCAAACA
rnacentral:rRNA from 1 species